rnacentral:rRNA from 1 species
GAUUAUGGCUCAGGAUGAACGCUAGCGGCAGGCUUAACACAUGCAAGGUCGAGGGGCAGCGGGAUGUAGCAAUACAUUGCCGGCGACCGGCGGAUGGGUGCGUAACGCGUAUGCAACCUACCUUAUACAGGGGAAUAACCUUUCGAAAGGGAGACUAACACCCCAUAGUAUUGAUUUAAGGCAUCUUAGAUUAAUUAAAUAUUUAUAGGUAUAAGAUGGGCAUGCGUAUGAUUAGCUAGUUGGUAAGGUAACGGCUUACCAAGGCGACGAUCAUUAGGGGUUCUGAGAGGAAGGUCCCCCACACUGGUACUGAGACACGGACCAGACUCCUACGGGAGGCAGCAGUGAGGAAUAUUGGUCAAUGGGCGCAAGCCUGAACCAGCCAUGCCGCGUGCAGGAAAAGACGGCCUUAUGGGUUGUAAACUGCUUUUACAUAAGACUAACCGUAUAUUUGCGAAUAUACCUGAAUGUAUUAUGAGAAUAAGGAUCGGCUAACUCCGUGCCAGCAGCGGC